GGUCGAAGUAAAUAAAACGCGACUUUCGAUGGUAUUUUAAAUAGAGGCGUUCCCAUCCAGGGCAACCCCCAAAACCUCAAAUAUUAGGUUUAAUGAGACUCUAUCCACCACUCAGAUGACAAUAACAGUAAGGUGACUGAGCAAAAGAAGCCCGGGUGGCAGAUGCUGGGGACGUGGAAGAAUGGUUGGUAAGGCAGGUACGAAGGUUCUCCAUUCCCAAGCAUUGCAAGAAAAGAUCCUUUGGCCUUGGGUGAUCGCUGAACAAAGUGGGAAAAUUGUUGCUGCGCAUUGCAAUUGCAAGGCUGGCCUGAGAGAAGCUUGUUCACAUGUUGCAGCACUGCUGUUUUGGGUUGAAGCUAACAUCAGGAUAUGGGACUCAAAGACUGCCAUCCAAGAGAAAGCAUACUGGAAGCUGCCAACACCUCCUCAAAAGUAGUCAAUACAAAAAAAAAUAAAGAAAAAUCCCUAUCUACCUACUGACCUUAGUUUUCUUAGUUCAUGUUACCAGAAAUACAUUAAUUUUGUUUGGCCUUAUCACAAUGUUUUGACCAUAUAAACGUGCUGUACCCAAUGUUAUGUAAGUGCAAAAACAAACUGAAAUUUUCAGUUCAAAAUACUUGUCACUUAUAUUUUUGUGCCUGAAAGUACAAUCACUGUGACCAGUUAUAAGGCAAACAUGUAUAACUGUCACGUCCCAUCGGAACGUAGUUCAAGGAGACACGUUUAUUAUAUGCAGAGGUAGGGGAUCGAGCAGGCAGUCCGGUGCAGCAGCGGUAGUUGGGACGUCGGGCGAAGAGAGCAGAUGAGCGGACAGGCAGGAGUCGGUACACAGGGGAACAAUCAACGCAGGCAGAAGUAACGAAGGAGUCAGCCUUACAAGGUUGGUCGGAGAACGGACGAAGGUCGGUACACACAGGUUCGAUCAGGGAUACCGGAGCACACGAACGGGACAUGAAGAUCAACGAACUGGCGCCGGCCAAUUGUCAUCGCGGUCAUAUAAAUCCACUGUCACGAUGCGGGGCUCAAGGUUGGACCCAAAUGCACGACUCCAGAGACAGCACACAGUACAGAGGAAACCUUUAUUCGGUCCGAGGUCUGAGAUCAGGUAGACAGUCCAAACAAUUCGUAGUACCAGUACGAAUGGGCUUACGAGGGUGGUCACAAUGAACAGGCGUGGGUCGGUGCACGGAGGUCAGAAGUCGAGAAAGCAGGAGUGCGGGAACGAGGCAUGAAGAGCAACGAUCUAGCGGAGUAUCUGUCGUCCCCCGGGUCCUAUAUGUACUGGGUCUAAUCAAAGGUCAUGAGGCGCAGGUGUGCACCUUCAGAUUAGCUGGCCACGCCCAGCCCGGGCUGGAAUCCAGGAGCAUGACAUCCACAGCAUAAUCAGGCUGCAUGAGGCGCAGGUGUGCACCUCCCAAUCAACGCACCUGCGCGGGCACCCACACAGCUCGUGCUGGAGCGGCAGGAUCAUGACAAUAACACCAACUGAAAUUGACACCUCGAUUAUUGGAGAAAUGGAUGACGCAGCUUUGGGCUUUUCCAUUCCAGCCUAUGGUGACAGGAUUGCUGCAAGGUAUUUCUCAAUGGAAAAACAAAGCGGUUUCUUCCCAUUCAGUUAGUGAUGAUUGUUUGGACUGUGAAUGUGGGCAAUGGCAGAUUUUCUUGGUGUAGGUGCUGUAUAAGUAGUCGAAGAAACAAUAACUCACACGAGCUUGGGUUGACUGUGAAAAAUUUUUUCUACACUAUCAACAGUUAAUUCACUUUUGGACGGGAAUAUUUGUGUGUUAGAAACACCAUUGUGCUUUUACUGUUAAAUUUUAAUGGAAUUUGAAUCUCUACCUAAUAAGACAGUGUUUGUGAGUCUGGUACAAGGUAGUUUGGGAUUUUUUUGUUUUGUUUUGUUUUGCGAACACAUUAUGUGUCAACUGUUGAGUUGUGUAAUUAAAGGGUCAAACUGUGACAUUGAACAGACAUGAUGUUUCCAGCUGCAUUGCAUGCAUGCUUGGAUUGAGA